GAAAUGCGAUACGUAGUACGAAACGCAAGUCGUGAAUCAUCGAAUCUUUGAACGCACAUUGCGCUGUGUGGCAUUCCACACAGCAUGCCUGUUUGAGCAAUAUUUCUCUCUCGCAAGGUGUUGGGCACCACGCCGGCAGGCGUCUGCCAGAAACGAAAUUGUCUAAAACAGUUAAGCUUGUUACAGACUCUUGAUCUUAUUCUCAAAUCAGGUAGGACUACCCGCUGAACUUAA
rnacentral:misc_RNA from 2 species